UGAUUUGUAUCGAUUCUUGUCAUCUUCAC
rnacentral:piRNA from 1 species